ensembl:lncRNA
CCGGUCCAGCGGUCCAGCGCUCUGCUCAGCCCUGCGGUCAUGUUCAGCACCAGAAAGACCUGGGACAUUGGCCACGCCCCCUGCCUGCAGGAGCUCUGGAAGAAGGACGUUUCAUUGGACGCCAGCUCGGUGGACUUCUUCAUGAGUGAUGGUGAAGAUGAAAGCUCCUUCCUGCCUCUGCCCUCCACCCCCUUCUCGCAGCGCCCCUCUCUGACCGCCGAGCUCAGCGACGCCAGCAGCCAGCAGCUGCUCAUACAGGUAACCCCGCCCGUCUGCGCACGUCUGCGCUGGCCGGCCGGCCGGCUGCUGACGCAGCUCGGCCGACGGCAUUCGGCUGACGGAGCUUCUGUCGCCUCGGGAGGACUCGGGUCAGCGGGAUGUCUGACUCCACAGCUGAUUGGCUGUCGCUCCUCUGAGUGUGACAGCAGCAGAUGAAGCAUUGAGGUCAACAGCGUUCAGAACACGAGGAGAAAUGAGCUCCAGAGGACGGUUGUAGUUCCCGCGUCGGCCUGUAGAGGUCAGCGUUUGAUCCUGCAGUUCCUGUCUCGGCCUGUAGGGGGAAAUGUUGUAACUUCACUGAACUGAGGUCAGAGUUCAGGUCAGAUCAGAGAACAGAGACGUUAAGAGAUGAAGAUCCGGACGACUCUGUUCUGAUCCGGACGAUUCUGUUCUGAUCCGGACGAUUGUUCUGAUCCAGAUGAUUCUGUUCUGAUCCAGAUGAUUCUGUUCUGAUCCAGACGACUCUGUUCUGAUCCGGACGACUCUAUUCUGAUCCGGACGACUCUGUUCUGAUCCGGACGAUUCUGUUCUGAUCCGGACGACUCUGUUCUGAUCCAGACGAUUGUUCUGAUCCGGACGAUUGUUCUGAUCCAGAUGAUUCUGUUCUGAUCCAGAUGAUUCUGUUCUGAUCCAGACGACUCUGUUCUGAUCCGGACGACUCUAUUCUGAUCCGGACGACUCUGUUCUGAUCCGGACGAUUCUGUUCUGAUCCGGAUGAUUCUGUUCUGAUCCAGAUGACUCUGUUCUGAUCCAGACGACUCUAUUCUGAUCCGGACGACUCUGUUCUGAUCCGGAUGAUUCUGUUCUGAUCCGGAUGAUUCUGUUCUGAUCCGGACGAUUGUUCUGAUCCAGAUGAUUCUGUUCUGAUCCAGAUGAUUCUGUUCUGAUCCAGAUGACUCUGUUCUGAUCCAGACGACUCUGUUCUGAUCCGGACGACUCUGUUCUGAUCCGGACGAUUCUGUUCUGAUCCGGACGAUUGUUCUGAUCCAGAUGAUUCUGUUCUGAUCCAGAUGAUUCUGUUCUGAUCCAGACGACUCUGUUCUGAUCCGGACGACUCUAUUCUGAUCCGGACGACUCUGUUCUGAUCCGGACGAUUCUGUUCUGAUCCGGACGACUCUGUUCUGAUCCAGACGAUUGUUCUGAUCCGGACGAUUGUUCUGAUCCAGAUGAUUCUGUUCUGAUCCAGAUGAUUCUGUUCUGAUCCAGACGACUCUGUUCUGAUCCGGACGACUCUAUUCUGAUCCGGACGACUCUGUUCUGAUCCGGACGAUUCUGUUCUGAUCCGGAUGAUUCUGUUCUGAUCCGGAUGACUCUGUUCUGAUCCGGACGACUCUAUUCUGAUCCGGACGACUCUGUUCUGAUCCGGAUGAUUCUGUUCUGAUCCAGACGAAUGUUCUGAUCCAGAUGAUUCUGUUCUGAUCCAGACGAUUGUUCUGAUCCGGAUGAUUCUGUUCUGAUCCAGACGAUUGUUCUGAUCCAGAUGACUCUGUUCUGAUCCGGAUGAUUCUGUUCUGAUCCAGACGACUCUAUUCUGAUCCGGACGACUCUAUUCUGAUCCGGACGACUCUGUUCUGAUCCAGACGAUUGUUCUGAUCCAGAUGAUUCUGUUCUGAUCCAGAUGAUUGUUCUGAUCCGGUUCUCUCUCCUUCACGUCUUUCCAUUGUUUCCAGAGAGUGGCCUGGUUCUGCUCGUGGACUCCCUCCAACGUAAACGUUCUCCGUUCUUCUGUAGACGUGGUUUCCAUCCACAGAGCUCGUAGCGAUGACCUCACAUUUCAGAGCACGCCUCCUUUUCCCGCUCAAACCUCCAGGUGUUUCUCUGCAGACUCUGCAGGACAAAGUGUGCGAGUUUCAAUCCCGCCUUCGCUCCGAGGAAGUGGCCCGCCACCUGCUGGUGCAGCAGCUGCAGCACAGCCUCCGCCCAACACCAAAAAGCUGCGGCAAGCGGCUGCAACAGCCAGCAACUGACCAAGAAGGUGGCCCGCCCAAAUGAAAAGGUAACCGCAGCGUGAAGGCGGCGG